rnacentral:rRNA from 1 species
GAGCUCGUAGGCGGUUUGUCGCGUCUGGUGUGAAAACUCAAGGCUCAACCUUGAGCUUGCAUCGGGUACGGGCAGACUAGAGUGUGGUAGGGGUGACUGGAAUUCCUGGUGUAGCGGUGGAAUGCGCAGAUAUCAGGAGGAACACCGAUGGCGAAGGCAGGUCACUGGGCCACUACUGACGCUGAGGAGCGAAAGCAUGGGGAGCGAACAGGAUUAGAUACCCUGGUAGUCCAUGCCGUAAACGUUGGGCACUAGGUGUGGGGCUCAUUCCACGAGUUCCGCGCCGCAGCUAACGCAUUAAGUGCCCCGCCUGGGGAGUACGGCCGCAAGGCUAAAACUCAAAGGAAUUGACGGGGGCCCGCACAAGCGGCGGAGCAUGCGGAUUAAUUCGAUGCAACGCGAAGAACCUUACCAAGGCUUGACAUACACCGGAAUCAUGCAGAGAUGUGUGCGUCUUCGGACUGGUGUACAGGUGGUGCAUGGUUGUCGUCAGCUCGUGUCGUGAGAUGUUGGGUUAAGUCCCGCAACGAGCGCAACCCUCGUCCUAUGUUGCCAGCACGUCAUGGUGGGGACUCAUAGGAGACUGCCGGGGUCAACUCGGAGGAAGGUGGGGAUGACGUCAAAUCAUCAUGCCCCUUAUGUCUUGGGCUUCACGCAUGCUACAAUGGCCGGUACAAAGGGCUGCGAUACCGCGAGGUGGAGCGAAUCCCAAAAAGCCGGUCUCAGUUCGGAUUGGGGUCUGCAACUCGACCCCAUGAAGUCGGAGUCGCUAGUAAUCGCAGAUCAGCAACGCUGCGGUGAAUACGUUCCCGGGCCUUGUACACACCGCCCGUCAAGUCACGAAAGUCGGUAACACCCGAAGCCGGUGGCCUAACCCCUUGUGGGAUGGAGCCGUCGAAGGUGGGAUUGGCGAUUGGGACGAAGUCGUA